rfam:Candidatus Yanofskybacteria bacterium RIFCSPHIGHO2_02_FTLL_46_19 rifcsphigho2_02_scaffold_750, whole genome shotgun sequence.
GUCGGUGUAGCUCAGUGGUAGAGCACUGCCCUCAUAAAGCAGUUGUCGGAGGUUCGAUCCCUCCCACCGACA